AUCCAGCUUAUGAGUCCCAAAUAGGACGAAACGCGCAUCCUGGAU
rnacentral:hammerhead_ribozyme from 1 species